rnacentral:tRNA from 1 species
GGUCGAUUAGCUCAGCUGGGAGAGCACCUCCCUUACAAGGAGGGGAUCACUGGUUCGAGCCCAGUAUCGACCACCA